rnacentral:rRNA from 1 species
UACGAAGGGUGCGAGCGUUGUUCGGAAUUAUUGGGCGUAAAGGAUUCGUAGGCGGGAGAGCAAGUUGAGUGUGAAAACCCCGGGCUUAACCUGGGACGUGCACUCAAGACUGUUUUUCUUGAGUAUGGGAGAGGGUGGUGGAAUUGCUGGUGUAGGAGUGACAUCCGUAGAGAUCAGCAGGAACGCCGGAGGCGAAAGCGACCACCUGGUCCAAAACUGACGCUGAGGAACGAAAGCGUGGGGAGCAAACAGG